rnacentral:rRNA from 1 species
CCUACGGGAGGCAGCAGUGGGGAAUAUUGCACAAUGGGGGAAACCCUGAUGCAGCGACGCCGCGUGAGUGAAGAAGGAUUUCGGGAUGGAAAGCUCUAUCAGCAGGGAAGAAAAUGACGGUACCUGAUGAAGAAGCCCCGGCUAACGACGUGCCAGCCGCCGCGGUAAGACGUAGGGGGCAAGCGUUAUCCGGAGUGACGUGGUGUAAAGGGAGCGUAGACGGCAGCACAAGUCUGGAGUGAAAUGCCGGGGCUUAACCCCGGAACGGCUUUGGAAACUGUGCAGCUAGAGUGCAGGAGAGGUACGUGGCAUUCCUCGUGUAGCGGUGAAAUGCGUAGAUAUUAGGAGGAACCCCAGUGGCGAAGGCGGCUUACUGGACUGUAACUGACGUUGAGGCUCGAAAGCGUGGGGAGCAAACAGGAUUAGAUACCCUUGUAGUC